UACGUAGGGUGCGAGCGUUGUCCGGAAUUAUUGGGCGUAAAGAGCUCGUAGGCGGUUUGUCGCGUCGGCCGUGAAAACUUGGGGCUUAACCCCAAGCCUGCGGUCGAUACGGGCAGACUUGAGUUCGGCAGGGGAGACUGGAAUUCCUGGUGUAGCGGUGAAAUGCGCAGAUAUCAGGAGGAACACCAAUGGCGAAGGCAGAUCUCUGGGCCGUAACUGACGCUGAGGAGCGAAAGCAUGGGGAGCGAACAGG
rnacentral:rRNA from 1 species